rnacentral:rRNA from 1 species
CCCUGACGGGGCGCAGCAGUCGCGAAACCUUUGCAAUACACCCAAGUGUGACAGGGUCAUCCCGAGUGCCGACCGCUGAGGUUGGCUUUUACCCAGUCUAGAAAGCUGGGGGAAUAAGGAGAGGGCAAGUCUGGUGUCAGCCGCCGCGGUAAUACCAGCUCUCCGAGUGGUGUGGACGUUUAUUGGGCCUAAAGCAUCCGUAGCUGGCUGAACAAGUCCCCUGUUAAACCCACCGAUUUAAUCGUUGGCGUGCGGGGGAUACUGCUCGGCUAGGGGACGAGAGAGGCAAGCGGUAUUCCCGGGGUAGGGGUGAAAUCCUGUAAUCCA